GAAAAGAAAGAAGAUGGAUUAGAUCCCUACACCAGGCAGGUCCCUGGCCGCUCCUUGUCUUUUCUUGUGACAUCAGGAGUGCAGAGAAGCCUGCAGUCUACAGUGUGAGCAGCACUGUGGUUCCUCAAGCCAGAAAUGAAGUGACAGGGGUGAUUUUGAGCGGAGGAGCACACG